GUGGGCGUAGCUCAGUUGGUAGAGCACAGGAUUGUGGCUCCUGGUGUCGUGGGUUCGAAACCCAUCGUCCACC
rnacentral:tRNA from 1 species